rnacentral:lncRNA from 1 species
CGCCACUGCUUCUGCGUCUCCACCAAGUUCAAAGACGGCACGACAGCGGCGAACAACCUAUCACCGGCAUUUAGGUUUGUCAGCUUUCAUGUUGGCCAACUUCGCCCCGGGUUUCGACUUCUUCAGUUGCGUGAUUGCAGUUGCCUCGCUCUCCCUUGAAAACACCACGAUGGCCACAAUUGCCCCUGCGCUGCCCGUCGUCUUGGUCGCCAUCGCAGGCAUCACCUUCCCGUCCAGCCCAUGCUAAUUAAAUCCUAGAAGCAACAAAAGUUAGAUCACUAAUUAAAUCCUAGUAUGAUGAACCAUUUAUGCUGAAAUAGCUACAGAGCAACUCGCGUAGAUUAAAGUUAAAUCUAGCAAUAUAGUACACUUGACACCGGAGUAAACCCCAAAUUAAACAAUGUACUAUGACUUCAGAAGAAUAUACAUUAAUCUGCCAUAUUGCAGGGAAAACAAAUCUGGAGCACAAAGUAGAGAGAAACACCUGUAACACACAUGCACGAUAUAACAUGACCUAAAUGUAAUAAAAUAUAGUUGUAUUUUCUAAUGGAACAAAAUAUGUAUCUGCCGAUGGUACUCAAGAUGCUUCUUUUUUUUGCCUCUCAUUAUUAUUUUUGUUGGAGAAGAAGUUACAUUUGUUACGCACUAAAAGGCACCUGGUAGCAUAUCAUGUCAUCAGAUAAUCUUCUGGACUGUGUUCCUACUUCCUACUGCUUCACUGAUUUCUUGUAGUUGCUAGAAAAAUGAGAUUUGUCAAACAGAAGCUUCCUUCCUCCUGCCACCGACGAUGUGUGAAUAUUACGUGAGCUGCUACAACCUUUUUUUAUGGAUCAGACGAUGAGCAGCUACAAACUUGAUACUGUUAAUGGUAGUCUCAUUCUUCCAAAAAAAUAGGAAAACAAACUCAUACAUUUCAACACAGCUCCUUCUUCACAUAAACUUCCAGUUUAAAUGAAAAUACUAUUAUUUUCGAUUAAGGAAGCUUUAUUAAUUAAAAGGUUUAAGCAUUAUACCCGGCCCCUCUGCAUAAAUGGAAAUACUAAUAGCAACAAAAAAAGCUUAAUAAGAAAACUCCGACAAUGUGGACCGAGAUUGACUUGGUAGUAGAUCAAAUCACAGGCGUUCAAUCUUUGUUCAAUGAGAACUGAGGAACAACUUUGUAAAAAAAAACUACCCUACUCCACACUGAUCAUUGCAUGACAUCAAUAUUUCUCUUACAGAACUAAACUUAGACAGCCAUGUAAGCUCUAAACAUUGUUCUUGAUUAAACGGACAAAACAUAAAGGAAUUGGAAGUCUCACCAUCAGUAUAUAAUGUUUCCACGCAAUAUUUUUGUCCGAACAACCACAAUCAAUGUCCAUUACAUCCACACUCGCCUCAAGAGGGAGAGUAGACCCGCCUGCACAAUAGAGACUAUAGAACAUUCACAUGAAGUGCUAAAAAAUGUAAUACCAAAAUUUAAUCUAAUGAGGAAGCAGAGCCCGCCGCCGCAUCCAUGGAUGGCCACCAGGGGAGUCUCCAGCGCCGUGCAACAUCGACCUGCCACAAGGGCUCGGACGGGCAACGGCACACGCAUCCACCCGCUGCCCCCCCACGAGCCAUGGUAGGGAAGGCCGACCGUGAUCCAGGUCGCCCGCAACUCGCGGCGCCAGAGGCGGAUCUGGGCGCGCCGCCGCCACCACCAGCCUCCAGCCUGCACCACCACCGCACUGCCCAUCCCAUCGCUGGCAUGCGCCGCCGACAGCCCACGUCGGCGCGCUGCUGAGCUGCCACGGCCAGCGCCAAGCGCCGCAUCCGGCCAGAGGCGUCCGGCCCUCACAGAAACCCCCACGCGCGGAGACAAGAAGGCCCCGCCGCCGCCAGCGACGAGCGGGCUUCGCCCGCUCGCGCCCCCGGGCGGCCGCGAGGGGGUAGGGAGAGGAGGGGGGACCGGCGGCGGUGCUAGGGUUGCCCCCCGGACGCCUGCGGGAGCGUCGCGGGAGGGAGGAGGGGAGGUUCCGGUUCUUCAGUUCCUUCAAAAGCUCCUCUACAAUGGAGUAUCAAUUUCAUAAAAUAAACAACAUACUGACCAAAAUACAUUAAGAAGUAAGUUGUACAAGAUUCAGCUUACCUUAUGCUUGGAAAGAGCCUUUCCAAUCAUUUUAUUGGUUCAUCUGUCUCUACUAAGGCACAAGCCAACUUCCCUCUAUUUGUAGUAUGUAGAAACGAUCCUAGAGUAAUGUUGAGCAAGCAAACAACUCACAUAUUGCUGGAAAUGUUUUAGAAAUUAUAUAUUUUAGUAAACAUGGCUGACCUGUAAAAAGUUAUGGGUCUUUCUCAGUUUUGUAGUGCAGAGCUCAAUAACUGAAACAAAAAAUACAUGCUGGGUCGAGACAAGCUGAAACAUGGCUUAAAGCACAUCAAAUGAAACAUGGGUGUGGUGUGGUGGGGGGAUGGAGUUCGUUGUCACUGCUUGCUGAAGGUUGAUAAUAUAACUGGAAUUUCAAUCGUCGGAAGCACAUAAGCUAAUUUCAACCCUUUGUCAAAAGCCAAAAUGAAGGCAACUACAUCACAUCCCAUGAGAUAGAAGAUUAGAGAACUUACCAUCAAGAUGGAAACCGGGACGGGUUCCCUUCGUCGGAUGUUGGUAGACGACGUCAAAAUCAGGGCAAGUCACAUUACCAAACGGACAACGGUGGCUUGGCCAGUUCACAAACCCAUGGCGUCUACUCCUCAUCGACUCUCGUUCCUUCGUCGGCAUCAUGGGUCGGGCAUCAACGACAGUCUCCCAUUGCUGCUCAGCACGGACUCCAAUGUGACAACACCAAAGUUGCAAGUUGUCUUGAUUGGACUACAACACAAAAAACAUCAUUCAAAUGGCAGAUUAUAAAUAUGCAAGAGAAAAUUAUAUUGCGCUAUCGAAUAUAUCAGACAAUCUCUGUCUUCUCCAUGCUGCUUGCAACAAAGAAUGCUAGAUUUUGGUCGAUGCCUUGAGUUAACUGAUGCAUGGUAAAUAGUAUAUCGUGAUCCAAAAUUUGUACAUGCCUUGAGUUUGUUUAUGCAAAUGAAAUAGUAUUGAUCAUCUAUGAAUUUUACAGUAUACUUCUUUAUGACUACAGGGAGAUGGAAGUGCAGUUUGUUUAUGUACGUACUAAUUUAGGUAAGCUUACAACCGAUCGAGUUCAAUCAAGUUGCCAUUUCCAGCUAAAGCGUAGAGGUUAUAGAACAUACACCUAUUGCAUGUUAUUCCAGAAAGUGCUUAACGAUGCAAUACUAAAAUUUAAUCUAAUGAGUACGCUGAUCUCGAACAUGAAAAGGACGAGAAUAGAAGGCCAGAACAUGCAUAUAUCUCUACAACUUUCCUUGCUUAGAUAUAUCUAUGAAACAACAACUUCACACCAAUAAAUCAAAAGAGAAAUUUCUUCAAAUAGGUUGUGGCCAACGUGAGUGAAUAUAGUCCAUUAUAUCUACUGAAGUCCAAAUGCAUGGAUUGGUUAGUGAGCUUUCAGAGUGAUAUAAAGUAGAAAUCUAGGACCCUAAAUCUUUUUUCGUCGGCCAACACAAACAAUCGGAAGACUUAACAGAAUAAUGCAAAGAGAAAAAAGGCAAACCUUAUUGUGAAAUUUUGAAGCAGGUGAGCCUCGUCAAAGUUUUGUAUAUUAUACUGCCGUUCCAUCGCAAUAUGGCACCCAUGCAUCAACGAAAUGUCGGCCGACGAGCCUCCUAGCCUCCGCCGAGCCAGCUGCAUCAUCCUACCAAGGAGCCACCGCGCCUGGCAGAGAAAGGCCCCCCAACGCCGUGGAAGGGGACACUUCAGUUCUCUUUAUUUCCAGUUUAUAGUACUGGUCCUGCAAGUUACAUCAGGUCAAUCUAUUUUAGAAAGAAACCAAAUAUUGUUACUCGGAGAAAGACAUUAGUGUAGCUUUGAUAGCAAUGACAACAUACCAUGAUUCCACCAGGGUCAACGGCUGAUAAUUAUGUGUUUGUUGUAUUUGUUGCCUAGCGAUGACCCUGUGAGCCGGUGCUUAUCUCAAUUUGAUGGGAUCUUGCAGUAGAUCUGAGAUAUUGUGAAAUUUGUCAACACAGAUGCUGGAUUAUUGAAAAUUAGUUGCACAGAUGGAUCAUUUGUGCUGUGUGUACCUUCCUAGAAUAGCUGCCGCUUCAGAAAUAGUUGGAUUCAUGUACCAUCGAGUUGCCAGACAGGACUUGAAGGUCAAGUUUCCUGUACAAAAAAAUUAACGGGUAAUUUUAAUUUCUUCUCUAAAUUGUGCAGGAUGGAUAUAAGAUGACGAUACGUACUUACAUUAAAUUCAUGUACUGGCAUGCCAACAAAUAGAACUAUAAUGGGUUCUUGAGCAGACCACCGUUGUAGCUUGUCUGCAUCAAGGGCAUCUGCUAAUUUUCCCCAAAACAUCACAACGGCGGGCAUUCUGGAAAGAUAUAUCAUUGUUUCAGUGGAGAUAUAAGAACACGGAAUGAAAAAUGAUAAAAGUUGGCGCACAUUUGUGAUGUGAUUUUCUCAUAUCUGGUCAAUCGAUCCGCCGCUCGGCGCAAAUAUUCUUGUGAUGCUGGUAACUAAUCCAACAUUCACAAGUUGUAAGAAGUGGAAAAUUAUACAAUAAAAACAAUUCUUAAGAGUUGCUGACCUGACAACAAAACGAUUUGUUUAAUGCAGCUUUGGUACUGUGUACAUUGUAGGUGGUAUAUCCAUACUUGGGAAAGUUUGGUGGCUGAGGCACAAUUGGUUCGACGGUAGUUUUUUGGGCAAACACUACUCUCCAUGGACGAUCUACAGUUUUGUAUCUUUCCCUAGCAUACUGAACCUGGUAAGCGCCAAGCUUGUAAAUUGUUGUUCCUUCAGAGAUCCUGUUCUUGAAGAGCUGUACUUGGAAAUUUGGAAUUGUGCCUUCCAUUGUUCCACCCUAGAAAGGAAGUAAAUAUGUGUAUGGUAAACAGGUCACUGCCUUCAGGACCCCAAUGUUCUCAUAUCCUUGUAAUGCGGAUGGUAAGGAUGCCUCUGCUGGAAUAUCUUGUAACGUCUCAGCAGCAUUUCAUCCAUCUAUGAAUUUUCAAAAUAAAUAUAUGUAUAAGAAAACCUGCUCAGCAGAGCAACAAAAUUACUGUGAUUUAACAGAGACUAUUGAACUCAUGACAAAAAAAAAAUCUAAACGCAUGCAUCUCCAAUAUAUAUGUUUCUUUCUUUCCAAAUCCAGCCAGACCACCCCAGCCGGCACAAUCCAGUGCAUUUUUUUUUCUGAAACUGAAAAAAUGGAGGUGUACUACUUGUCAGCUUACAUACACAACAAAACAACGUAAGCAUCCUAACUUAACAAAUAAUAACAGGGCACCGACGACAGCUAUGCUAACUAUUAGCACCACAACACCAAAGAAAAAGGGAAGGAACUGCCAACAUUUAUAGCUAGCUAUAGGAGAGACCACCAUGCUAGAAUGCAAAUGAAGCCCAAAAUGGUUCACUUAGUGUUGUCACAUGUGAAGAACACAUUACAACAUCUAAGAGGGGCAAAGGACAACCUGACAUGGUAAGAUCAGCAAGUACUUCCGCAGAUGCACCCAGCCACAAAUUUGAGUAUCGCCUUCUCCGAUGGUGAUCGAGAGUAACGAACAAUAAAGUGAUUAAGCAAACAAAUUACAUGUAUGUUGUUCUUUAAGUUUCUAUAAACAGAUGCAUGAUUUGUUGAACUUGACAGAUUCUUGAAAUCACCAUCUGUGAACACAUGAGCUGUGGGAAAUUUUGUAUUGGUGAGAGCAAGCUAAACCGAACCUAGUUCAACAAACAAUUGAGCCAUCCAAUGCAUGUUUCUUGUUCAUUUUUACUCAGAAUAUUGUUGGCAUUGCAGACAUUCCAUUGAACGCAUAUAAUAGCUUUGUGUUACUCAGCAGGCGUGGCUAAAAUUCUCUAAUGGUAGAAGAGAAAGGAGAGAAGAUGACCUCCUGCUUUAUCUGUCGCAUCUGCCAUAGCCAAGGUGAGGGUUCUUGCAGCCGUAGGAAGAAUAGAAGAUAAUGCCGAACAGGGUGAAGCGCCCCUUAGCAGCACUAAUGACGCGGACGUGGGCACCGCAGCGGCCGUCGACUGGGAAUAAAACGACACAACAACAAUAAUAACGAGGCAUACGAUGAGUAUAAUUUGCUGCAUCUCGCACCUCAUUGGAAUUUUGAGUUCCCAGCUCACUGAAUUUGUGGGUUCACAUCUCACGUAAGCACAUUGAAUGAAACUACUUGUGAGUAGGAAGAAUAGAGAAAAGUACUUGUUCACAUCUCUAAUAUUAACGGACGGGUGCCUCUCACCUUGGGAUUCAGGUUCUUUCCUGGCUAGAGGUUAGUCCUGAUCCAAAGCUGAAAUUAGAAAACAAACAAUGUCAGGUCAAAUACACAAUAGCAACAGAAGAAGUUUAUUUUUUCUGUCCGAUGAUAAUAGCUUUCAGUUUCACAAAUGUAGAAACUAAGACAUACAAAAAUCCAGCUUUCAAAAAUUUAUGUAAUCUAAAAAACAUGAAGAUAUUUCCCAAGGAAAAACAUGAAGGUACACACAACAACUCAAAAAAUUCCCCAGACCAACACUAAAUAAAUGGGCGACUGGCAGAAGUGUGAGCCGUUGAGGCAUUAGACAAACCUAUUUUGCUAUAGCGCAGUAUGGAUAGCAGUAGUAGGCAGACUUUGCACAGCUGGAACCUGCUUUUCCUGGAGGGUGCUUGUGGUACCUGAACCAGCUCCACCCGUUGGAGGACUUGUCGUAGUAAGUGUGAUCGACCGCGCGUCAGGCCUCUAGAAAUAUCAGGUUCUCCUCCGUGAGCGCCGGCGCUGCUUGGGUCGGUCAAAACAAUGAAUCAACGAGAAUCAAAGCGAACGUCAAUCUGAACCCUCGGCUAGCUCACGUUGCUUCGUCCUUGCGGAACAUGGACUGGAAUCCAGGACACUCCAAACUCAUCUUGAGUCUUUUGGCAGUGAUUCCUUGCGCAGCUCCUUCCUCCACGGGGUCAUGUGAGCCCGGGUAGCAGCAGCUUACCCAUCAAAUGCACGACAGGAGAAGCACACAUGUAUUUGUAUGGCAAUUGACGAGACAUUCACCAAGAUAUAACAGAACAGAAAUUUUGUAGUUCAUCUCAAGGAAAAGGGCAUGGCUAGAGAUUUAUUACCGCAAUGGGAUGGUCUGGUGGACGAAGACAUGGGACAGGGGAGGCAAAGCCGUUGCGUCCGUCCAGAUGCACGUGGACCACCACAGGUCGGUCUGGCUGGAUCUGGUUGGAGCAAGCGGCGGAGACCUUCAAGUGCAGCCACCGGCGGCGGCAACCGCCUCACGCCCCUCCUCCUUGAGAUGAUGUACAGGGAAUCAACUACGGCCGGAUCUAGAGCGUCGGCAGGUGGGGAGGCCGCGGCAGUCGUGGCACCGAUGGAGACCCAUGGCAUGGCGUCCUUGUAAGGGAGGCGGUGUCGCGAGAGAGAGGGGUCUUUAGAGAGGCACAGGAUCUUGGCGCCGGCGAAGGGCGACUCUUCUCGGAUCUCAGCGGCGGCGAAGGGAGCGUCCUCUCCGAUCGAGAACGCACGGGCGGCGGCGAUGGGAUGCGAGUGCGAGGUGGCGGCGAUGGGAUCUGGUGGUGUGGCGUGGUGGCCUGGAAGGGAUCUCAUGCGAGUGCGAGCUCGAGGGCACCUGGAGGCCUCGUUCCAAGACAAUUUUUUUCGCUGGUUAAUCAUCGUAGGGUUUUUUUUCGCUGGUGAAUCGUCGUAGGUUUUUUUUUUCGUCGCUUGUCUCGGGCGCGACCUGAAGAGCACGGGGGCUGGCAGAGGAUUUGGUACGUGGUUUUUUCGGUUCGUGCCGGGUCACUGUUAGGUGGGAAAAGGUGAGAGAAGGUAUCAAAAUAGGUACCAAAUAUAACCGGAUGAGGUGGGAUAAAAAUAACCUAAAAUCUAAAAAGCGGCCGGCCACCAACUAACAGAAACGGGCGGCCGGGCUCACAUGUGUGAUUUUUUUGUCAGCUAGUGGAUAUUAUUGUUAGCAUUAGAUGCGUAUAGACUAGUCUGGCAACAGAUUCACGCACAUUUAUUUUAGCGUCUUAAAUUUUUAAAAAGUCAUAUUUUUUAAACCACAUGUCGGAAUUCAGAUCCGUUUUCACCGUUGGAUUCAUCGCGGCGAGAUCGUCGAAACUAGAUCCCGCAUGGAUAUGUUUCGAUGAAAUUUGUUUGAUGCCAAUUUUGGUGCUAUAUGGUGCAAUUAAAAUACUGCAUUGUGCAACUUUAGUACUACAUCGUGCAAUUUUUUUCCAAAACUAAUGUCUGGAGCUGCGCCUUCGUAUGAGGUUACAACCUAGCAACCACGACAACUUUGAUGUGCGACUAGUCUAUUGCCUCGACGAAAGUCGAUGUGCAACCUCCUCUUGUAAUGUAGUCUAGUCGCACACACAUUGAUAUUUAGUUGGCUUGUAAUGUAGUCUAGUUGCACAUACAUUGAUAUUUAGUUGGCUUGUAAUGUAGUCUAGUUGCACACACAUUGAUGUUUAGUUGGCAGGAAGACUAAUUGCACACGCAUAUGCUUAGUUGGCUUGUAAUUUAGUCUAGUUGCACACACACUGAUGUUUAGUUGGCAGGACACUAGUUGCACACACAUAUGCUCAGUUGGCGUGGCAAUUUAGUCUAGUUGCACACAUAUUGAUGUUUAGUUGGCAGGACUUUUUUGGCACACACACAUAUGCUCAGUUGGCGCGGCAAUCUAGUCUAGUUGCACACACAUUGAUGUUUAGUUGGCAGAAAAACUAGUUCGUCGAAACAUCCCCAUGCAGGAUAUAGUUUUGAAGAGCACGUCGCGAGGAUUCCAGCGGUGAAAACGGAUCUUAAUUCCGACGCGCGGUUUGAAAGAUAUAGCUUUUUGAAAAUUUGAAAACCGAAACAAAUGCAUAUGUGAUCUGUUUUUUCCAACUGACUGUGACCGAUAUGAAUGUAUUAAAUGCUAAAAGAUACAUGCGCUAGCGGACAAAAAUUACACACAUGCAUGUCUAUUUUAGGCCAGCCGCUCGCGCAUGUAUGGCUGGCCGCUCCAUCGCGCUAGUGGGCAGCCGGCCGCCCACUAGACGCUCCCUAAAAAUAAAACCCGGAACGCGACCUACCAACUGAGACAUUAAGAGUUUAGACUAUUGAUGUCAAAGAACCAUGUGAAUUAGGAAAUAAAUUAUAUUUGGAUCAAAUAAAUUUUAAAACAAUUGUGCCAAUGUUUAAUCAUUUUGAUAUGACCUCUAAUCUUGAUGAUCAUUCUGUGUCAAACGACUUAUUGCAUGUUUUCUUAUUUAAGCAUGUUGUAGCAUGUAAAUUUGAUGCACGUAAGCUUUAUUUACCAAUGUUGGGAUGGUUUAAUGAUGAAUAUUGUCAAUCUUUUGAUAUGAAUAAGAGCUUCACUUAUAUGUGCAAACUGAGUUGCAAUAUUUUCAUGUCUUCUACUUAUGAUAAUAUUUUGGCUUUAUAUUUUAAGAUCUAUGAAAGUUACUCAUGUAUACAUGUGUCAUAUGUGCAAAAAUCAAGGGAAGUAAAAAUGGAUGACAUAUAGAUAUACAACAUGUACACCCUGUCUUUUUUGUUAGCCACAUUUCAGAUUAAGCAACGCCGAGGACGGCUUUGUUUUCAAGAAGGGGAGGAUGAUGAGGACCUGACUACCUUGGAUAUGACCAAAUAUAUUGCAUACAUGUAUAUUUGUGAGGUGAUUUCUAAUGCAAACUAUGCAAUAGUUUAUUUAUGUCAUCGAGGACAAAAAUACUUCACAAACUUUUGUGCCAUGUCUAAUUGCAGGUGUAUGGGACAUUUGUACAGUCCACAUAUGAAGAUAAGGGUGAAAGAUAUGUUCACUUGCUCUUCAAAAAGUUCUCUCACGUCACUUUUGGCCCAAGAGAAGAUAAAGUCCAAGUCUCUCACAUACUGGACUCAGAUUCAGACUGCACAGACACACCUGAUUCAAAACGCCAAGAACUCUUUCAUCCGGACUCUGAAUUGGGUGAUUAUUUUGUUGUUGGAAAGUAGAUUUCAUGCUCUUUCCAACCCAAUUGGAAUCACCUUAAAAUCCGUCCGGAGCGUUGAGCUAUGUAUGAAACAAUCUGACGCUGCAGCAGAAUCCGAGUCAAACUACAAGUCCAAAGGUGUUACGUCACCUCCACUUGGGCCCAUUGGCCUUGUACAACCUAGGGUUAGUUUUAGGCUGCCUUGGGACAUCCUCCCACCUCCUUGGCCGCCACCCCUUGCUCCUAUAUAAGUAGAUCCAUCUAGUAGCUUUUUCUUUGGGAUUUGUUUAGAUUAAAGUUCGCCAUAGCUGCAACUUCGCGUACUUCGUUUGUGUUCAAUGACCAGACAAAGGCGUCACAGAACCCCACCUUGAUCAAUAAAGCUUUCAUCUUAUAUUCGCAAUAUCCUGAUUGCAAUCUCAGCUUCUUGCUUGUUCUUCAUUUGCUCGUAGGAAACAGACCCUCGUGGUCAGGUUGAUCGUACUCCGGCGUGGUCAAUAACCUCUCGAAGUUGGUUUAGCGAUUGCUAAGGCGCGACGUCCUCGCACGUUCGUAGUCGAAUCAUCAAAGUCGACUUCCACCAAAGCAAUAUCCAUCAUCUCAUCGAAAGACGGGACACCUUUGCCUCUAUCAGCCAGGCCCAUGUAAUUUCGAAAUACACAAGUAUAGGCUAUUUUUAGAGUCCGUAUGUGUGGGGAAACAAGAGAUAUGGUUGAUUUUGGACCCUUCCACCAAGGGCCACGAAAUUCUCCCCCUCUUCCUCCAUAUAUACAGCCUUAGGGCAUCAUUUAGACUUUGGGUUUUGUUUAGAUUAAAGUUUGCCAUAGCUGCAACUUCGCGUACUUCGUUUGUGUUCAACGACCAGACAAAGGCAUCACAAAACCCCACCUUGAUCAAUAAAGCUUUCAUCUUAUAUUCGCAAUAUCCAGAUUGCAAUCUCAGUUUCUUGCUUGUCUUCGUUUGCUCGCAGGAAACAUACCCUCGUGGUCAGGUUGAUCGUGCUCCGGCGUGGUCAAUAACCUCUCGGAGUUGGUUUAGCGAUUGCUAAGGCGCGACGUCCUUGCACGUUCGUAGUCAGAUCGUCAAAGUCGACUUCCACCAAAGCGAUAUCCAUCAUCUCAUCGAAAGACGGGACACCUUCGCCUCUAUCAAGUGGUAUGAGAUUUCCAGGUUGCUCGGUGAGAUUUUAUAGUUUUUCGUAGUUUAGAUCGAAUCUGUUCUUCAUACCUAUAGUCCACGAAAAAGCCAACAAAAAAAUAGGGUUAGUUCAUCCUUUCCGAACCAGUCUGAGCCUUUGCAUAGUCUUUUCAGUAUUUUGCUUUGUUGAAUUUGCAGUUGCAUUAUCGCGUCAAGUUGCUGGUCUUAGCGUCUAGUCUUUUAGAGUUUCGAGUUCUGGUCAUAAGUUGUCACGCCGCCCCGCACCAUCAUCAUCGCCCCUGCCACCUACCACCACCGCUCGGUAUCCGUAUCCAUAUACCACCACCAAUCUGUAUCCAUAUACCACCACCGAUCCAUAUCAAUAUACUACCACCGCUACCACCACCGCUGCCAUAUACCACCACCAUAUAUCCACCACCAAUCCGAGUUCCUUGCAUAUUAGGUUCACGGGUUUUUACGCCACCGUCGCACCAUCAUCAUCCGCUGCCAUAUACCACCACCACACCAGAUACGUCGUUCCUGCCAUCUACCAUCACCGCUUAUCCGCCGCCGCUCCGAGUCCAUAUACCAACACCGAUCUAAUUCCAUAUACCACCAUCAACCCACAUCCAUAUACUACCACCACUCCGAGUCCAUCUCAUAUUAGGUUAACUUUCAAGAUCCAUCUAUUUCUAGAUUUGUGUUUUCCUUGUCUGAGUAGGUUUCGGAUUCCAGCAAUCUUUUGUCGUCCGGAAACCACCCUCCGUUUAGGCCCAAAAUUUUCCAAAAACGCACUUGACAAAAAAAUCUGGCUAUCCUAUUUUUAGGUGUUUCUAAGCGUAUUAAGACAGUCGUCGUUAUAGAAAGUUUUUUUUGACCCGUUAGUCGAAAAAAAAAUUGGUUGAAAAAGUUUCGUGCCUAUCCUGUUAUCUUGAAUUGAGAAAAGUUUUGAGACACUCGCCAUUAUAGUGAUUUUCGGCAAAAAAAAGGAGCGCAAAAAAAAGAGUGAAAAAAAUUCAGAGUGUGCUUCUCUCUUGUUUCCGUGAAGUGUCGUGAUUUUGUUAGUGUUCUAGGCACGCGUCUCUAGCACAGCCUAGCCUAGGACCAGCAUAGUACCGUCGUUGAGCGUUUAUUCAACUUUGCAUCUUUGAAUUGAUUAUUGCUGACUCUUUUUGCUACCAUAUUAUAAGCCUUCCCAGCUCCACAUGCAUCUACGUCGUGCGUUUGACUCUCCCUGGUAAUUGCUCUAUCCAAGCUUUGAGAGUUUUGAUAACAACGGUUGCCGAUCACCACCUGCUGCUGGGUAAGAACUGGUAAGAAUUUGAGAUUCGCUUGACAGAUUUGUGACACCCCACCACCACCAUAUUCCAGUGGUCUGUAGGAUCAUAUUCUUGUCCGUUUCUAUUGCUACUAACUAUGGCAGGAACACAAGCCGACGAGAUUGACUGGGAGAACAUGACGAACAAGGACCUUCAUGAUAAGUUUCAUCAAAUGUUGAUUCAACAGGUGGAAGACGUGAUGGCCAGCUUUGGAAAGGCAUUGGAGAGGAUGGAUGACAUUGAGAAGACAAUUGACACCAAGUUGGACGCCAAGUUCGAUGAAUUACUCAAACGUCUCCCACAACCAGUUCUACACCGCGAUACAAUAGAGCGAGCACAACGUGUUCCUAUUGAGCGAGGACAAAAUUCUGGUGCCGCUGCUACUUCUGGUGGUGCUUCCGUAGCUCUUGUUGCUACUGCAGAGGUGGAGGACUAUUACGAGGAUGAGGUUGAUCAAAAUCAGAACUGCGUGCAGCCACCAGCACCACCACCAGCAGGUCGACCUCAGGUAUUUAUUCGCAAUGGUAGGCCUGCACCACCACCUCGGGUACGAGAUAAUGACCAUAUUCCAAACUGAAAUUGAAUAUUCCACCAUUUGAGGGUAGAUAUGUUCCUGAUAUAUAUCUUACUUGGGAGUUAGAAACUGAACAACGUUUUACAUGUUUACAGUACCCCGAGGAGAGACGGGUUGCUGCUGCUGUUUGUGCUUUCACUAGUUUUGCAUGUGUAUGGUGGUCUGAACAUUGUAGAUUAUAUCCUAUUCCCACUACUUGGGCUGCUUUGAAAACUGCUAUGCGUACUCGUUGGGUUCCACCAUAUUAUCAACGUGAAUUGCUUCAAAAAUUGCAGUGUUUAAGACAAGGAAAAAAUUCCAUAGAAGAAUAUUAUCAGGAAUUACAAACUGGCAUGAUUAGAUGUGGUAUUGUUGAGGAGAAUGAAGCUAUCCUUGCACGUUUUAUGGGUGGAUUAAACAGAGAGAUUCAGACCAUUCUAGAGUAUAAAGAGUAUACUAAUAUCACUCGUUUAUUCCAUCUGGCUUGUAAAGCUGUACGUGAAGUGCAGGAUCGACAAGCAUUGGCGUGAACUAACUUUUCUGCAGGACGACCUUCAUCAUGGACACCGCGUGCAUCUUCUACUUCAACUGCACCAGCACCUCCAUCAGGUUCCACCUCCAGCCGUGAUACAAGAAAGCAGGCACAACCACCAUUAUCUACCAAGAGCGCACCUGCCGGGCCUGCACAGAGUUCUUCUUCUUCCAUGGCAUCAACAGGGCACACAAGUGAUAUUAUUUGUCGUCGUUGUAAGGGAAGAGGUCAUUAUGCGAGAGAAUGCAAAUCUCAGUGUGUGAUGAUUGCUAAUGAGGAUGGUGGAGUAUGAGUCCGCUAGUGACUAUGAUGAGGAUACUUUGGCUCUUAUUACACGUGAAGAACAUGGUGGAGAUGAUUCUGAUCAUGAGACGCAAUACAUGGCUCCUGAAGAUGCUGACAAGUAUGAAUGUUUAGUUGCUCAACGUGUUUUGAGUGUGCAGGUCACACAAGCUGAGCAAAAUCAGAGACAAUAUUUGUUCCAUACAAAGGGAGUUGUGAAGGAACGUUAUGUGCGCGUCAUCAUAGACGGAGGGAGCUGCAACAACUUGGCUAGCAUGGAGAUUGUGGAGAAGCUAUCUCUCACCACAAGACCACAUCCACAUCCUUACUACAUCCAAUGGUUCAACAACAGCGUCAAGGUUAAGGUAACACAUACUGUUCGUGUGCAUUUUAGUAUCUCUACAUAUGCUGAUUAUAUUGAUUGUGAUGUGGUACCUAUGCAAGCAUGUACCUUAUUACUUGGUCGACCAUGGCAAUUUGACAAAAAUUCUGUACACCAUGGUAGAAACAAUCGCAUACUCUUGUUCAUAAGGAUAAAAAUAUUACUUUGCUUCCUAUGACUCCUGAUUCCAUUUUGAAAUAUGAUAUUAAUAGAGCUAAUAAAGCAAAAUAGGAGAAAAAUAAGAGUGAAAAUCAGAUUGUGGCAAAAGAAUUUGAGCAACAAAUGAAGCCUAACAGUAAACCAUGUAGUGUUGCUUCUGAAAUUAAAUUGAAAAGUGCAUGCUUACUUGCCACUAAAUCUGAUAUUGAUGAGCUAGAUUUUAGCAAAUCUGUUUGCUAUGCUUUUGUGUGCAAAGAGGCAUUAUUUUCAUUCGAGGACGUGCCUUCCUCUUUGCCUCCUGCUGUCACUAACAUUUUGCAGGAGUUCGCUGACGUCUUUCCACAAGACGUGCCACCGGGAUUACCUCCCAUUCGAGGGAUUGAGCAUCAGAUUGAUUUAAUUCCCAGUGCAUCAUUACCCAAACGUGCACCAUACCGUACCAAUCCAGAGGAGACGAAGGAGAUUAUGCGUCAAGUACAGGUGCUGCUCGACAAAGGUUAUAUACGCGAAUCCCUUAGUCCUUGUGUUGUUCCUAUUAUUCUACUGCCGAAAAAGGAUGGUACAUCACGUAUGUGUGUUGAUUGUAGAGGCAUUAAUAAUAUUACUAUUCGUUAUUGUCAUCCUAUUCCUAGGCUAGAUGAUAUGCUUGAUGAAUUGAGUGGCUCUAUAAUAUUCUCCAAAGUUGAUUUGCGUAGUGGAUACCAUCAAAUUCGUAUGAAAUUGGGAGAUGAAUGGAAAACAGCAUUUAAAACUAAGUUUGGAUUAUAUGAGUGGUUAGUCAUGCCUUUUGGGUUAACUAAUGCACCUAGUACUUUCAUGAGAUUAAUGAACGAAGUUUUAUGUGCUUUUAUUGGACGAUUUGUGGUAGUUUACUUUAAUGACAUAUUGAUUUAUAGCAGAUCUUUGGAGGAACAUUUGGAACAUUUACGUGCUGUUUUUAUUGCUCUACGUGAUGCACGUUUGUUUGGUAACCUUGGGAAGUGCACGUUUUGCACCGACCGAGUGUCUUUUCUUGGCUAUAUUGUUACUCCAUAGGGAAUUGAAGUUGAUAAAGCCAAGAUUUAAGCUAUUGAGAGUUGGCCGCAACCCAAAACGGUCACACAAGUGAGGAGUUUUCUUGGCCUCGCUGGAUUCUAUAGGCAUUUUGUGGGAGAUUUUAGCACCAUUGCUACACCUCUCAAUGAGCUUACAAAGAAAGAUGUGCCUUUUCUUUGGGGUACCGCACAGGAAGAAGCCUUCACGGUGUUGAAAGAUAAGUUGACACAUGCUCCUUUACUUCAACUUCCUGAUUUUAAUAAGACAUUUGAGUUUGAAUGUGAUGCUAGUGGAAUUGGAUUAGGAGGUGUGUUAUUACAAGAUGUCAAACCUGUUGCAUGCUUUUCUGAAAAAUUGAGUGGGCCUAGUCUGAAUUAUUCUACUUAUGAUAAAGAAUUAUAUGCUCUUGUUCUGACUUUAGAAACAUGGCAACAUUAUUUAUGGCCCAAAGAAUUUGUUAUACAUUCUGAUCAUGAAUUUUUGAAACAUAUUAAAAGUCAAGCUAAACUGAAUCGUAGACAUGCUAAAUGGGUUGAAUUGUCAUUAAACACAAGAAGGGUAAAGAAAAUGCUAUUGCGGAUGCAUUGUCUCAUCGCUAUACUAUGCUUUCACAACUUGACUUCAAAAUAUUUGGUUUGGAGACCAUCAAACAUCAAUAUGUGCAUGAUGCCGAUUUUAAAGAUGUAUUGCAGAAUUGUAAAGAAGGAAGAACAUGGAACAAGUUUUUCAUUAAUGAUGGAUUCGUGUUCCGUUCUAACAAGCUAUGCAUUCCAGCUAGCUCCGUUCGUCUUUUGUUGUUGCAGGAGGCGCAUGGAGGAGGACUAAUGGGACCCUUUGGCGUGAAGAAGACGGAGGACGUACUUGCUACACAUUUCUUUUGGCCAAAGAUGAGACGGGAUGUUGAGCGCUUUGUUGCUUGCUGCACUACAUGUCAAAAAGCUAAGUCACGACUCAAUCCUCAUGGUUUAUAUAUGCCUUUGCCUGUACCUAGUGUUCCUUGGGAGGAUAUAUCUAUGGACUUUGUUUUAGGUUUACCUCGGACAAAGAAGGGGAGGGAUAGCAUAUUUGUUGUCGUGGAUAGAUUCUCGAAAAUGGCACACUUUAUACCAUGUCAUAAAACCGAUGAUGCUGUUAAUGUUGCUGAUUUGUUCUUUCGUGAAAUUAUUCGCUUGCAUGGUGUGCCAAAUACUAUUGUUUCAGAUCGUGAUACUAAAUUUCUUAGCCACUUUUGGAGAUGUUUAUGGGCUAAGUUGGGGACUAAACUUAUUUUUAGUACUACUUGUCACCCCCAAACUGAUCGACAAACUGAAGUAGUCAAUAGAACAUUGCCUACUAUGCUUAGGGCUGUUUUGAAGAAUAAUAACAAAAUAUGGGAAGAAUGCUUGCCUCAUAUUGAAUUUGCUUAUAAUCGUUCAUUGCAUUCUACUACUAAGAUGUGCCCUUUUGAAAUUGUGUAUGGUUUCCUACCUCGUGCACCUAUUGAUUUGUUGCCUCUUCCAUCUUCAGAGAAGGUUAAUUUUGAUGCUAAACAAUGUGCUGAAUUGAUUUUUAAAAUGCAUUAGUUAACUAAGGAAAACAUUAAGCGUAUGAAUGCUAAAUAUAAACUUGCUGGAGAUAAGGGUAGAAAACAUGUUGUGUUUGCACCUGGAGAUCUUGUUUGGUUACAUUUGCGUAAGGAUAGAUUUCCUGAUUUGCACAAAUCAAAGCUAAUGCCUCGUGCUGAUGGUCCUUUUAAGGUGUUGGAGAAAAUAAAUGAUACUGCAUAUAAACUUGAGCUGCCUGCAGAUUUUGGGGUUAGUCCCACUUUUAACAUUGCAGAUUUGAAGCCUUAUUUGGGUGAGGAAGAUGAGCUUCCGUCGAGGAUGACUUCAUUUCAAGAAGGGGAGGAUGAUGAGGACAUCAAUACCAUUGUUACACCCAUAGCCCCUACCGCUAGAUAUACUGGACCAAUUACUAGAGCUCGCGCACGCCAAUUAAAUUAUCAGGUACUUUCGUUUCUUGGUAAUGAUUCUAAUGUUCAUGAAAAUAUGAUGCUGCCUAAAUUGGAUAAAUUUGUUUUGCUUACAAAUGAAAGGCCUAGCUUGGAGAAGGAUGAACAUUGGAGCAAGAACAAACAUGGAGAUGAUUGCAUGCGCAAGGGGAACAAGAACGGAGUUACAAGUGAUGAUUUCAGGACUUUGAAGCCACCAUAAUGGGUGCAUGAAGCCUUGGACAAAAUAUACAAGAUUGCACUUCAUAAAUUUUGCCCCGAGGCUAUUCUAGGUGCUGCGUCACCUUAUUAUUGGGCCAGGCCCAUGUAAUUUCGAAAUAUAUAAGUAUAGGCUAUUUUUAGAGUCCAUAUGUGUGAGGAAACAAGAGAUAGGGUUGAUUUAGGACCCCUCCACCAAGGGCCACGAUAUCCCCCCCCCCCUCUUCCUCCAUAUAUACAGCCCUUAGGGCAUCGUUUAGACUUUGGGUUUUGUUUAGAUUAAAGUUCACCAUUGCUGCAACUUCGCGUACUUCGUUUGAGUUCAACAACCAGACAAAGGCGUCAUAGAACCCCACCUUGAUCAAUAAAGCUUUCAUCUUAUAUUCGCAAUAUCCAGAUUGCAAUCUCAGUUUCUUGCUUGUUCUUUGUUUGCUCGCAGGAAACAGACCCUCGUGGUCUGGUUGUUCGUGCUCCGGCGUGGUCAAUAACCUCUCGGAGUUGGUUUAGCGGUUGCUAAGGCGCGACGUCCUCGCAUGUUCGUAGUCGGAUCGUCAAAGUCGACUUCCACCAAAGCGAUAUCCAUCAUCUCAUCAAAAGACGGGACACCUUCACCUCUAUCAGAUGGUCUUCUUCGAAAGGAGGUCUUGAAUCCAAGUGGAUCUUCUCCGAAGAGGUGUCGGUCCCUCGCGAAGGAGUAGAUCUGGAUGGAUGAGCAAGGCUCUAUCUCAUAGAUGAGCUAAAUCAAUGCUAACCCUAGCUAGGAGGUGGGAGAGGCAUAUUUAUAGUUGUAGUGCAAAUGGGGGUCGAAGUGAAGGGGUACAAGGGCAUCAGCCCGAGGCUGCGGGCACACAGGAGGCGGAUGUCCGGUCUCUACCGGUCGUCCGGUCGCUCGCGGAGGUCGGGAUGUCUGGUAGGAUCGGACAUCCGCUGGUUUCGUUCUGUGACAGUGACACCGGUCGUCCGGUCACCUCGUUCUUCUGCUAAUUUCUCUUCGGGUGCGGAGUUGUCGGUCGUCCGGUGCUGGCCGGUCGUCCGCUCGCUGGGAUGUGUCGCCGGACGUCGGGCAGGCUGGGCUCCAGGCGCCGAACGUCCGGUGGCUAUGACAUCUUCGGCGCCCCUUCUUCUUGGCCUUCAUGCUCGGUGUCCUCACUGUCUUGGCCAUUGAAUGUAGCUGUUCCGUGGCCUUCUUCUAAGUACCUGAUCACACAUAAUGUUUCCGCUUGAGGUAGUAUCCAUGACUCAUGUGUAGAAAGGGGUAGUUCGGAGAGGAGCGAGUUCACCUUAUCUUCGAUAGCCUUCGCUCGAGCUCUUAUCAUAGGUCCAAAUCUUGUCGAGGGGGAUGUAGGUACAUCCACGGGGAUGAUCAUGGGAUGCUCCGCAUCAUCUCCCCUCCCCUUGGGAAAGAUCCGACCUAGGAUCGAAAGCUUCAUCACCAUGGUAUGGCGAGAGGUCCUUGACAUUGAAGAUGUCGCUCACGUUGUACAUGUCCCAUGGGAGGUCGAUCUUGUAGACGUUGUUGUUGUAGCGUGCUAGCACCUUGAAAGGUCCAUCGCCUCGAGGUAGAAGUUUGGACUUGCGUUCAUUGGGGAAGCGGUCUUUGCGAAGGUGUAGCCACACGAGAUCUCCAAUGCCGAAUAUCAUGGGUUGCUUGUUGAUGUUGAGCUUGGUCGUGAGUCAUUGUACUCGGCGCUCGAUGGUGUUCCUUGUCUCUUCAUGCAUCUUCUUGAGGUAGUUCGCGCAUGCACUCGCGUCCAUGUUGGUGCGCUCUUGUAGUGGAAGAGGAAGAAUGUCCAAAGGGGACAACGGGUUGAAGCCGCAGAAGACUGACGGUGUCCUGGACUAGGGGGUACUCACCACAUCGUCCGCCGAUCAGUUAGAUUGCCCCGAGGACCCCCAUGUCCGUAUACUCAUGGGUCAGUUCAAACAGUUGCCGCAUACAAGAAAGAUUCCACAAGACUUGGUGAUCAAGACAAGGACUCCUCCCCCACCGGCGUAUUCGGCUAGGACUCUUGUUAUCCUAGGCCUCUGGUACAUUAUAUAAACCGAGGCUAGGCUAGUCGAUAGAUUAUUAUUAUGACAUUACUCAUCGUACCUCUAGGAUUUAGACCACAACAUAUGAUCUCAGGGUAGAUCAACUCUUGUAACCCCUAUAUUCAUUAUAGUCAAUCAAGCAUCAUGUAGGGUAUUAUCUCAUCAAGAGAGCCCGAAGCUGGGUAAAACCCCGUGUUCAUGUUACCAUUGAUCCUAAGACGCACUACUUGGGACUCCCUACCCGAGAUCCGCCGGUUUUUACACCGACAUUGGUGCUUUCAUUGAGAGUUCCGCUGUGUGAUCGACGAAAAGAUCAAUGGCUCGACUGCAGGUCAACUGCGACGUCGGUUUCUUCGUCACCAGCACGACUGAUCACCUUGGCUUGACCGAGGACUGCGCCCUACCUCUGGUCAUCACGUUCGGACAAGGGCCUUCAUCAACAUCAACUCUGAUCUCUAUCAAGAUCAUGGAGGAGUCAUCCAUGGAGCUCGGGGGCUCAACGUCAACAUCGCCCUCGGGUGACCGUGCUGUUUUUUUGGACAGCAAACUCGUAUCUGCCGCCACCACCUCCUCGAGUGUCGCCUAAACAAUUGCUUCGGUGGAAUUAUGCAUAAUUAAGUCUACAAUGACCUGGGAAAAAUUUCAUCGAGUUUCGAUGGAGGAAUCUCCGGCAAUCUCCGAUAUACCGGAGCCCUGUUGAAUCUGGACGAGAAUCCGAACGAGUUUGGAGCGGGGUGUCCAGAAUCUAGCUCGGACGUCCUUUGGAAGAUCCAACCGUUGAUAGGCUGCGGAAUUCCCAUAUCUACCAGCUGCCAAACAUUCAGCUCGAUCCGACCGUCCAAACUCUAGGAACCUUCCGAUUAGUGCAUCACUUUUUGGAUCUGUUUUCUGCGCGAGAACGAAUCCGACCCGAGUCGAUCUUCUUUAUGAACGGGAUUUCGGACAUCCUUUUUGAAGGAAGUUUUUGUAUGGGGUAUUGUGUUUUAUUCUCAAACACAUCCCAUUAAUAUUAAAAGUAUUUUUACAAUAUGAUCUUCACCAUCGCACCAGUGUCAAACCGGCUCGACAACAUCACUCCACGGCGGCCGACCUGCGCUAGACACGUCGUCGCUUUGUUAAGCCGAGCUCAACUUCUUUGGAUCAUCAUCUUGGCCAGCCGAACAAUAGUUUGGCAUUGUGAAGGAUAAAUCGUCACCAACAUUGCCUCCCCACAGAUUACAUGGAGCAGGCACACCGGCAUCGCCGCACGGUCAUUUCAUCAAGUCAGCAUUGACCACGUCACAAGCUAUGACCUGCAUCGGCAUGGCUGAACUGUUGCUUCAUCGAGCCGAUGUCCAUCACGCCGAACUACUUCAACACCUCGGUUGACACAUCUCCUCACCGACCUGCUCCGUCUCCUCGCCUGGACCGGGGGCUUCGUCAUCCCUUCAUCAACUUACUCCAGAGACUUCGGCGUCACCAGCCGACCAGCUUCAUCACAUUAGUUGGACCACGGGCUUCACCGUGGCGAGCCAACCUUUGCCAGGAUCGCCGUGCCAUCGCUUCAUCGCCCAUCAGGCAAUGGGUGUGCGGAUCGAGUCCCAAUUUUGGGAGUAACCUUUCUUCGAACCGCUACAACAGAUAAACCAGGUGCUAUUAAUCCUAGCAAUUUUCGCUCGUUUGGGUUCAUUUUUCCCAAGGAAUUAUUACUCUGCUUUGUUCCAUCAUCUGUACACAGGUCUAUCAAUUGGUGGCAGCAUUAGCAAUGAUUGUGUGGUGGUUCGCUCAGCUUCCGUGCAUAGUUCGGCGAACGCCGUAUCCGGAACUCGGAUUGACUUGUGAAUUUGGGCUUUGUCACGCCUUCACUGCGUCACACCGACGCCCUGCAUCGACAUUGACCUCGACGCUCAGGCCACAUCUCUUUCAUUAUUUCCUUCACUUGUGUUAAAUAAGUAGAAGAAUUUUUUUAUAUACAUUAUUAUCUUUAUUUGUCAUUUCUUUUGGUUUGCACUAUUUUAUCUCUGCAGCCAAUCGACUCAGACUAAGCCGUGUUGUCGCCUUGGCGGGCCGGCCUGCUCCAUUACCGCGGCUGGACUGGGGGCUUCAUCUUCUCGGAGUGCCGGACUCUCUUCUCGGCCACCUUGGGACCAGCCUGGGGCUGGAACCCUGUCCCACAUCAAGCUCGGACCGCGUCAUCAAUGCCGAACAUAUCAACCAGCUAAGUUGCUUUCAUGCUCAAAAACUUUCAGUCUUAAAUUUUGUUCGGUUUGAACAAGCAUUAUACCUUUUUGGCAAAAAGUUGUUUGCGAAAAACUUCCUUGUCCAAACUUUGUUUGUGACACAUAAAUUCAAAUACCCCGUUUACUAGGGGCUCCCUUGAUGGAGCUUUUCCUCUUGCAUAUGAUUAUACUUGUGCGGCUUUGUUCCUUGUUCGUGUAUUACGCCACAAUAUGCACCAUGUUGACUUAAGCGACUGCAAGCUGGGUUGCCUGGCUCCUGUGCUUACCCCUACGUUCCCGAUAGUUCGGCUAGGGAGUAAAGGGAGCACCUCUGCGAUUGUCACGAUCGGUUCAUCCGAGCCGGACCUCAGACUGGGUGAAGCCGAAAGCUAGCGCUCGUACUGUUUUCAACAAUGGUCGGCACACAACGGAACUCAUGAGUACAAAAAAUCUAUUGCACAAGUCUCAUAAUAAUAAUGAGCAACCAAAGAAAGGUAAUGGUGGGGGUACUAUUUUCUUCGAAGAUGCUUCUUACACUUUGUUAGUAAUAUAGCAUAAGUUCCCUGAGCGCGCUUUGUCUGUUACAGCCUUAUGGCCUGAUUGCUUGGUCAUCGGAAACACCAUCGAUAUUCUCGACAGGUGGAGUACAUAACACUUUUCGGCCCUUGGCCGAAGAGGGAGAAGCCGACGGUCGGUUAAGACGCGUUGAAAGUUCGGGUGAACACAUAUAUGAUAUAAGUACUUCGGUGAAUACAAUCAUUAUACAUAAAAUUAUUUUUACCCAAGUCACUUGGGGGCUCUUAAAUUUAUAUAAGUUGUUUUAUAAUAAGUGUUCUUCUUCCUAGUCGUUGCAAAGUUUUUUUUUCUAUCACUCCUUUUUUCGACGCAAGUGUGGUCAAUAGCCCGAUUUCCCUCUCAUCCACCUUCGGGAUAGGAGGUUGAAGCCGUAGGCUGACCCGCUUGAAGUCUUGAGAUAGGAUGUGUCAUGUUAAAGCACGACAGAAGCACAUUUUUUUCUCUAAGACAAAUUUUCUGAUUGGCACCGAACAAUUAAUCUAGUUCGGACGUCGAGUUUUUACUGACCUUUUUUAGUUUUCCAAUCCUAUGGCACUUUUCAACUAUUUGUGUGUUUUCCGCAUAAGUCUCGCAGUGCAACGCCGGACACCUUUAGAGAUUCGGCAAAAAUUCUCGGAUAUUGCUAUAUAUGCAUCAGUUUCAAAUUAUGUCUUCGGUCGAUAGUUGGGUUGCCUGGCUCCUGUGCUUGCCUCCUACAUUCCUCUUUGUUCGGUUAGGUGUGCAAAAGGAGAACCACUUCGAUUGUGCUUCCAGCUCGCAUGGUUAAGCACCUCGGUGGAGUAAGCCGAAAACUGUCUGUCACAAUAAAGCAUAAACCGGUCAGCGAUCCGAUGUCUAUAUUAAAUGACGGGCCAUUCAUAACAUUCUCCGAAGUGUUUAUGGCUUGACCUAGGCUGUCGCCGAACACUAAGGGAGGGGCUACUUGCUGGCCUCCCAACUUUAAGCUCCUAUGACUAAGUGAAAGUUAUAAAGCCCGCAUAUCUGAUUGCCUCGUUUCCGCCAACACAACCGCCUUCGGGCACCGAGACGUCGGCUAAGGGUUGUUUUGUUAUUUUGGAAACACCCUGCAUAGCAUCUACAAGGGGGUAGAAGCCGACGAUGGGCCACUUUCAUAUUAUAAACGGUCGCAACAGAAGUGAAAAUUUAGGUUCGUAUAGACCACAGAGUUUGGAAGCUUUUCCCGAACUAAAUCCUCAGUAUUUUCCUCCCACAUUGAUUGGAGCUGAGGUUUCAUGAUCAUGCUUAGCAUGACAACCCAAAGAAAGGAACCGAUAGAGGGACUAUUUUCUUUGGACGAUGUUUCUUAUGUUAAACAAUAAUAUAACAUGUCUCUCUGUGUACCUUUGUUUAUAAAACCGUAUGGCCGGAUUGCCUUGUUUGCCGCAAAUCUUUGCCCUCAUAAAGGCUUUAUAAAGUGGGACAAACACUCCCCGGCUACUAGCCGAGGAGGUUGAAGCCGAUGGCCGGUCAACAAAGUUUUGUACAAUGUGGAUGCGAGCAUUGAUGAUGCAAAGUACUUGGAUACAUAGAAUCAUUACACAUAAUUUUUGAUUUUACUUUGGGUAUCAAUCCUUAAUUUGGCCACCCGUGCCCACAUUAAGGCUCGGGGGCUACUGGGCUUCGUGCUUAUUAUUUACAAAUAUUAAAGGGGUACAUCAAUCCCUUGAUCUAGUGUCGCCACCCGACCAGUGUCUCGGGGGCUACUGCAUUGACAAUCCAAUGCAGAAAAUUUAAAGUGCGGUAUAGUUUUUGAGGAGAUUAUUAUCCUCAGGAUGGUCGGCUGCACCCAACCUGAGUCUCGAAGACUUUGCACACUGCGUUUCUAUUCCUAUGUAUGUUGUCGAGCUAGGAAUUGAUCCUCAGGCCGAUUUCGCGCAUCGACCUGAGUCUCAGGGGCAACUAGGAUCAGCGGUUUCAUGUUUUUCUUCAGGUGCAUCUCGGAUUUUAGACCGAUGCACAUACCUAGAGGGCUACUGGCUAUAUAUCUCAACAGAGAAUAAAUUGCACCAAUCAAAAAAUUAGCCCACAGUCAGGCGUGGUGCACCACCUCGGAAGCAGUCCGGCAUUAAGCUCGGGCGCCAGUGGCUGGCUCCAUAGAGUGCAUUUCCGGCAUUAAGCUCGGCUAAACUCCUUCAACUUUUUGAACCCAGAUGACCUAUGACAUCUCGGGUAUAGUCCGGCGUUGGAGCUCGGAUUCAGUCUGGCAUUGGAGCUUGGACACAGUCUGGCGUUAGAGCUUGGAUACAUUCCAGCGUUGGAGCUCGGAAGCAGUCCGACGUUGGUGCUUGGCUGCAAAAGAUACCUCGAAUUCAAUCCGGCGUUGGAGCUCGGACGCAAGUGGACACUGCCGCCCAGGAAUAACUUCAAACCUGAGGUGUGGCAUAAUAAUAACAAGGCAUUGAUAAAGGUCGGAAACUUAAAGGGGCUCCUCGGAUACCCGACAUAUAAGCUCUUCGGAUUUACUUCGCGAUCCUCAAGAUCGGAGAUGAAAAGAUUUGUUGAACCAGUUUUCAAGACCGACGACUGAAGAUGACGAACAAUUUGGAAGAAUCGAGGAGCGUCCCCAACUUGAAGACCGGUUCAGGGGGCUACUGACGGUGUCCUGGACUAGGGGGUACUCACCACGUCGUCCCCCAAUCAGUUAGAUUGGGCCGAGGACCCCCAUGGCCAUAUACUCAUGGGCCAGUUCGGACAGUUGCCGCAUACAAGGAAGAUUCCACAAGACUUGGUGAUCAAGACAAGGACUCCUCCCCCACUGGCGUAUUCGGCUAGGACUCUUGUUAUCCUAGGCCUCUGGUACAUUAUAUAAACCGAGGCUAGGCUAGUCGAUAGAUUAUUAUUAUGACAUUACUCAUCAUACCUCUAGGGUUUAGACCACAACAUAUGAUCUUAGGGUAGAUCAACUCUUGUAACCCCUAUAUUCAUUAUAGUCAAUCAAGUAGCAUGUAGGGUAUUAUCUCAUCAAGAGAGCCCGAAGCUGGGUAAAACCCCGUGUUCAUGUUACCAUUGAUCGUAAGACGCACUGCUUGGGACCCCCUACCCGAGAUUCGCCGGUUUUGACAUCGACAACGACCUCGAAGGGGGACUUGCCGGUAGUUGAAUGUCUUGCGCGGUUGUAGGCGUACUAGGCGAUGGGUAGGCACUCCUCCCACUCCUUGAUAUUCCUCUUGAUCAACACGCGAAGUAGAGUGGACAGUGUACGAUUCGUCACCUUCAUUUCGCCAUCGGUUUGAGGAUGGUAUGCUGAAGAGAAUAAGAGCUUGAUUCCGAGCUUGGCAUAGCAUCUUCCAAAAGUAACUCACGAACUUGACGUCGUGGUCCGAGACGAUUGUCUUUGGUACUCCAUGGAGUCGCAAGAUUUCCCUACAAAAGAGAUUGGUGAUAUGUGAAGCAUCAUAUAUCUUGUUGCAUGGAAUGAAAUGUGCCAUCUUAGAAAAUCGGUCCACAACAACAAACACGGAAUCCUUUCCCUUUUGAGUUCUAGGCAAGCCAAGUACAAAAUCCAUGCUAAUACCUUCCCACGGUUGAUAAGGAAUAGGAAGAGGCAUGUAAAUACCAUGGGAUUGAGCUUUAGACUUAACUUUGCGACAUGUAGAGCAUCGGUUGGUGAAGCGUGAAACAUCGCGGAACAUCUUGGGCCAAAAGUAGUUCUUGGAGAGCGUGGCGAAUGUCUUGUCGCAUCCAAAGUGUUCGUCUCCAUGAGCCUCUUGCAAAAGGAGCAAACGAAGAGAAGACUCGGGGAUUCAAAGUUUGUUAGCUCUCAUAAGAUAAUCAUCCUUGAUGUAGUAUCGUUCCCAAGAUGUAUGCAUCAAACACUUAGCAUAAGGAGUAGCAAAGGUAGGAUCAUGCGCAUACAAGUCUUUUAUGUGCUCAAAGCCAAUAACAUUCAAUUCAAGUUUAGUGACAAGCAUGCAUAUGCGCGAAAGGGCAUCCACCACUACGUUUUCCUUACCCUUGAUGUACUUGAUGACAUAAGGAAAAGACUCUAUAAAUUCACUCCAUUUGGCAUGACGCUUGUUCAACUUAGUUUGACCUUUUAAGUACUUAAGCGUUUCAUGAUGAGUGUGUAUGACAAACUCAUGCGGUCGAAGAUAAUGUUCCCAAACAUCUAGCACACGUACUAAAGCAUACAAUUCUUUGUCAUAGAUGGGAUAGUUAAGUUGAGCAUCGGAGAGUUUUUCACUAAAAUGUGCACUACUAGGAAAAGGGCUAUAGAUGGAAUGGCCACUAAUGGCGCACCAGACAUGUGGUGCACCACUACUAUAUAGCAGUGGCGCACCAUGUGCUGGUGUGCCAUUAGUGUGAAAGACACUAAUAGCGCACCACACACAUGGUGCACCACUACUAACAAUUUUUAUUUUAUUUUUCCAAACAUACUAAUGGCGCACCAGGGCACUGUGCGCCAUUACUACUUCUAACUAGUAAUGGCGCACCAGCCGCAUAGUGCGCCACUACUAUAUUUUUUUAUUCUGUUUUUGGCAAAACUACUAAUGGCACACCUGGGAAUAGUGUGCCAUUACUAGUUUAAACUAGUAAUGGCGCACCGUGCCCCGGUGCGCCAUUAGUAUAUAUAAUUUUUUUGCAAAACUACUAAUGGCGCACCACCAGCAGGUGCGCCAUUAGUAACCAGGGUUACUAAUGGCGCAUUUGCAGGUGGUGCGCCAUUAGUAACCAGGGUUACUAAUGGCGCAUUUGCAGGUGGUGCACCAUUAGUAACCUAGGACCAGCUAGAUAUUUUGGACAGCCACACCUACCCACUCACUUUCCCCACUUCAUUCUCUCCACCUCCUCCUCCAAGCUUGUCUCGGCUGCCUCCUCCUCCUCAUCUCAUUUGCACCAUAGAUUCAUCCAAAUUAAGUGGUUAAAUUACCUUUUUUUGAUAGGUAAGUAAGGGGGAAGCUAUCUUUAUAUUGUUCUCCCUCCAACAACGUGCACAUGCACUUUUUAUGUCCUAACUAGAUCUAUGUAUGUUCGUGGUGUUGCAUAUGUUUGUGGUGUUGCAUAUAUGUUUGUGUUUGCAGAUACCGGUAUUUGAAAUGCGAUAGUUGCCAAUAUUUUGCUGGAAUGUUGAUUCAUUUCCAUUUCGGUGAGAAUUUUGGCACUAUGCAUUCUUUUUUGUCCUAUUUUUAGGGAAAGUCAUGCCAAAUUUUUUCUUGGUUCUAAAAUAUCAUUUUGCUCUACCCCGCAGGCGACCAUGGUCCGCACGAUGACCGAAGGCAUCGUGAAUAGGAUUUUGAGCUCGCGAAGGUCGAGAUGCUUCAAAAGAAUGAGACGGAGAUAAGAUGUCCGUGUCGAAGAUGCAAGCUGAAGAGCCUUAUUGCAGACCCGGAUUCCGGGCAGGUGCGGUACCACCUGCUCUUGCGUGGUUUCAUGGAUGGCUAUCGGUGGCAAGGUGAUGAAGAUUACUAUGAAGUCAUCCAUGGGGGCCGGGCAAGAAAUGAGGAAGGGCAGCAAGACAACCACAGCGGCUCGGGCGGGCGAGAAGACGAAGAAUCUCCAGGACAUGAUCACGACGGUGAUGUUGUACACAGUCAUCAUGUAGAAGAUGCAGGACAUGAUGAUGAGGAAGAUGCCGGAGAAGAUGAAGGGCAUGAUCAUGAAGAUGAAGAUGCCGAUGGAGCAGACGACGAUGGACCAUUGAUGGGCUGGGUGCAGGACCAUCAUAUUCAAGAGCUGCUUCUCAAGCAGACGGAUAACACAAGACCUGCCGCCCAAGAGAAAGCCAAGCUGGAUCAACUGGAGAUAGACGCGGUUACUCCAUUGUUUGAAGGAUGUAGGCUCGAGGAUACCCGCCUGAAAGUAACGCUCAUGGCUCUGGAGAUGAAAGUAAAACACAAAAUGACCGACGCAUGCUUCGACGAGAACAUGACAUUCUGGCGUGAACGUCUUCCCAAGGGGAACAAGUGCCCGACCAGUUUCGAGGAGGCGAAGAAAAUCGUGUCCUCUGGAUUUACCGCACGUGAAACACCAUGUGUGCAUGAACAAUUGCAUCAUUUAUCGGGACGAGCACGCGGAGUCUACCAUAUGUCCGGUGUGCGACGUCACUCGAUACAAGAAGAGGAAGAAAGCUCCUCGAAAAGUGGUGUGGUACUUUCUGAUCACUCCUCGUCUGUAGCGGUAUUUCACGGACCCUAAGGUAGCAAAUCUCCUGCGUUGGCAUGCGAAUAGGGAGGAGAAGAAGCCAGAAGAUGACGCAAAUGAUCCGGAGAUAAAUAAAAAAGACAAGAUGCUGAGUCACCCUAGGGAUGGGCGCCAGUGGCAAGCAUUGAACUUCGAACACCCAGAAUUUGGGAAGGAUCCAAGGAACAUCGUGCUGGGCGCGAGCACCGAUGGAGUCAAUCCGUUUGCCAGCCAGAGAAGCACACAUAGCACCUGGCAUGUGUUUGUGUGGAUGUACAACCUUCCCCCCUGGUUGUGCAUGAAGGGGAAGUACAUUCACAUGAGUAUGCGAAUUGAAGGGCCGAAACAACCAGGGAACGACAUCAAUCUAUAUCUAGGGCUGCUGAAAGAGGAGCUAGACACGCUGUGGAAAACGCCAGCCAAUACGUGGGACGCUUACCAGAUGUAUUGGAUAGUGUGCAGCUUACCAGAUGUAUUGAACAAAAUCAUUUCUUUAUUUUUGUUAAGUGGAGUGAACAAAAUCAUUUAUCUGGUUUUAUUAUUUCCCAUACCCACUUGGAACUGCAAUUUCAUUUAUGUUGUUAUAAGUUUGUUGCUGUCAGCAUGAGUUAACUUGUUGUCAUUUAUCGAAAUUCAGAAUGUGCUAGACUAUAUGUUCAUUGGUACUACUUGUGAUGUUGCUGCUGUACUACUUGGGAAUUUUGUCAACUUGUGAUGCUGCUGCUGUACCCCGAGAGGCCCUUGAGUUUGCCGGAAUGUCGAUUAACUUCUGUUCUGGCAAAUUCGGGUACUCCAUAUGUCAUAUUUUCAGCAAAGGUCAUGCUGAAAUUUUCUGUGAAUUUUAGCAUGAGUUUGAUAAAAAAAGGACAUAUGGGGUGCUUGCGACUAAUGCAUGGGCCGGGGUAUCUUAGUACUUAAUUAAGUAGGAUCAACUGCCCCUUUAUUCUUGUUGCAUUAAACCAUAGGUGGAAAUAGAGCAAAGUGAUUAGGCCCAACUUAGAAUUCUCCUUAGCAUCGAUAAACCCUGGAUGAUAAACCCAACAUAGGUGGCAGUAGAGCCAAGUGAUUAGUGCCAAGUGAUUAGGCCCAACCUAGGGUGCCUCGGCAUCGAUAAACCCUAAAUGAUGAAAAAUUAACUUAGCAUUUAGGGUGCCUCGGUGUCGACAAACCCUAAAUGAUGAAACCUUGGCUUUUAGGGUGCCUCGGUGUCGAUGAGAACCUAAAUGAUGUACACUUAGGCUUUUAGGGUGCCUCAGCGUCGACAAAACCUAAAUGAUAAGAGCUUAGCUUUUAGUAUGAUUAAGUGUCGACAAACCCUAAAUGAUGAGACCAUGAUCUUGUUCCUUGACAAUAACCAACUUUUUGACCAAACUUUUUUCCUAUUUAGAGCGAAACAUGGCCCACAACGAUGAGGCCGACGGUUCGGGCGGCAAGCAAUUCUGGGAGCUGCCCCAGGAGAUGGAGGAAGAACCUCACCGCUAUGAGGACGCCGCGGAAGACACCGAUCUUGACUACACAACCCCUAGUGGCGUCGGGGAUGACACCACUGAUGGUGCCGCUGAGGAUGCCACCAUUGAUGAUGGCGGCGCACACACCGAUGGCAGCCAACCGAAGAGGCAAUGGAAGGACCGGCGCCCGAGCGUGCUCGACACCAUCAAGGAGGAAUUUACUGAAGUGAACUCCGACGGGCAUCCAACGGCACCCAAAGAAUUAGUUAAGGGGUACUCGGUUCAGCUCGGGUGCAUUCUCUGGAGCACCGCCUCGAUCAACACCGAGAACCUAAGGCAUAAGGAUCGAGGGAAUUUGCGUAACCUCCUCUUCACGAAGCUGCACGAACGAUACAAGUUCCCUGCUGACUUUGCAAACACACGCCUCUCAGGGAAUAAAGUGAACAGUGCUGCCCUCACUAAGAUGAGCACAACCCUGUCUACUUGGAGAAGCACGGUGAAGGCAAUGAUUGAAAAAGGUGAUAGUUAUGAGAAGAUCAAGGCGAAAUAUCCUUUGGUCAGCGAAGAUGACUACAAGGAGUUCAAGAUCAAGUGCGAGAGCAACAACCUCUGAAUCAAGUCAGUGGGGGAAGGAGUUGAACUUAGGGGUCCACCAACUCGGUCCCGGCGGUUAUAGAGUGGCGGAGCCUAUAUGGGACAAGGAGGAUGCGGAGCGUGCCGAGCAAGGCCUACCGCCCCACUUUGAGAAAUACCGUGACAAGCAGACCAGGAACUAUGUCAGGGCCCGGUACAAGGAGGACCCGGAAACAAAGGAGCUUACCACGGAUCCGAAGACCAGGACGCUUGAGCUUGUUCUGGUAAGGAAUACAACCUCGCGUAAUUAGCUCCAUAUGGUUGCAUUCUAAUUAAUCCCCAAUAUUUCUAAAUGGUUCACGUUCCUUCCGCAGGACACUGAAAGUAGUAGCGCGGGGUCAUCUCAGAGCUCCCCUUUCGACACCCCUUUAAAUAGGGCGUUAAACGUAAUGAAAAACAAGGAUAAGCUCAGUAAGCCAUCGUUAGAUGGUCGUGUGGCUGGCAAAGACUUGUCCACAAAAUGGUCAUCAAACUAUACCGCUGGUGGGCGAAAGGAGAAAAAGACUAGCUCGGAAAGCCAGUCGCGCGAGGUUGAAGCACUCAAGGCACAAGUGGUGCGGAUUCCGGAGAUUAUCCAAGAGCAAGUGCAACAACAACUGGGAACGACGCUCACCGCCAUGGUGCCUAUGUUGAUUCAGGGGCUGACGACAUGGAUUGCGGGCGGCCAACAGGGGCCUCCCCGGUUCCCAGCUUCACGGCCAGCAACUCGCACAACGCGCAGGCGGCGCCAUUGGUGUCUCAGGCGGCGCCAUUGGUGUCUCCGGUGGAGGCGGUAUUCGUAUCUCCAGCGCCGACACGGGAAUUGGAGCUUAAUGCACCCGGGUGUACGCCGGCUGGCACCUCGCCAGCUAGAGGCCCCUCCAACAGUUGCACGCCCGCUGUUGGCGGUGCCUCGACAUUAGCCGAGCUCGACGGCAUCAUGGUAACUAAGCCUCUCGGCCGAUGAAUUCAUCUCCUUGCCUUUGACUGGGCAUCCCUGACGCCCUACAUGUUUUCGCAGGGCGCCGCCGACGUUCCUUGCACUCUCCUACACUUCGUGGGCGGCGAGUUGGUCGAUGUCGCCAAGGGUAGAAUCAUUCAACCGGGCAACCCUGUGUUCCACGGUAAUCCGAUGCCACCCACAGUGUAUAGGGUUGAACUGGUUCGGGUGCUGCCAGGCUGCGACGAGCUGUUACCUACGAUUCGACCCGCUGGGGCCGACGAAGAAGAUGAGAUGACCCUCAGCGCCUGCGUAAACUGGCCCCUGCUUUGGUCAAAGAGCUAGAUUCGUUUGGGGGCGGGGACACCACCCCACAGACAAGACCGCCAGUCGUGCUGGCGCCAAGCCAUGGCAAGAACGCCGCAACGCUACCGGACAUGCCGGACAUCCCUAUGGCACAGGAUCCGGACAUGCAUAUGGCACAGGAUCCGGAUGACAACGACAAUGACGACGGUACAUUUAACAACGUUGAUAAGUACUUUGACGAACAUGGGUACGAUGACGAGUUCUGUGGGCCUCCUUCUAAAGAACCCAACCAAGACGACCGCGAUCUAGCUGGUACGGCGGAGAAAUCCAAUUGCAACAGGCGUCGUCUGGCGUUCAGUUCUCAGGAGAUGCCUCUAGCUCCCGCCUUCACCGAGCCUCAGAUAGCUGAGGUGUGAAAUAUUAUCAGCCCCAACACGCUUAAGAAGGCGGUCUGUGAGCAGAACUCGGUCCCAUUACAACAGAUCAAGAAGAAGGGACGGAAACAAAAGACUAAUAAGGGCGCCGGUGCGAGCCAGCCGGCACCGAGUAUGAUCCGUGCUCAGGAUGGGCCACCUUCACCUAAGGAUAUCUCGAGGAGGGUGCAUGUGGUGGGUAGGGCGAUGCUACCGACAAAUAUGCUCAAUGCUGCAACCGGUGCUAUGCGGAGUCUGCAUGACAGUGUUCUUUCUUUGGAGAAGCGGCGUCUCUCCUAGAAUGAUGUGGCAUACCCGGUUUUCGUGCCCAAGGUGCCAGAGGGCAAGGGCUUUGUGGAUGGCGCCUCGGGGGUACGAUCGUCCUGUGGUUUGAUGACAUAUUUGCUAUGUUUAACCUUCAUCCGCUACACUACACCUUCGUUCGGUUGUUUUCGCUGAGUAUGGAGAUGCGGAUCAUUCAGGACAAGACCCCAGACAUCGUGAUACUCGACCCCUUCUACAUGCGUGCCAAGAUCUUGGGCAGCGCUGGGGACUGGCAAGUUGCGAGUUCGCACCUCGAAGGCGUCAUUCUGGCAAACCCAGAUAAGGAUAACUUCCUCGUGCCUUACUUUCCCGAGUAAGUCAUCCCCUCACUGCCCCGUAACAUAUGAUUUCUUAGAUUUCGAUCGUUCUUUUUUUUCUAACAUUCCGUGUUCUGUGUAGUGACACACAUUGCACACUCAUCCUCUUAAGCCCGAAAUAUUCCACGGCCACGUAUUUCGACCCGGACCGUGACUCCAAGAUAGACUAGAUAAAUAUCAAGAAAGUUCUUGAUGAUGCUCUCCCCGGCUACGCCACAUCUGGAGGCACCUUUAAGAGGCCAGUUCAUAGGUACGGCAGGCACGUGUUCACCCACAAUACGAUGUUCCCCUGCGUCAAGCAGCCGCCUGGCGGUCAGAAGGAUGCCUACUACGCCCUCCAUCACAUGCGGGCGAUCGUACGGGACCAUAAUCACCUUCUGCUACCAAAUAAUGUCAAAGAUUGGGCCGCUAGCUUGGCGGAAAUCCAGGACGCGGACCUCCGACAAGAAUUCUUUCGCGUCCAGUCGGAGUUUGCAGAAAUCAUCCAUCAAGAUGUCCUUCGUACCUCGGGGCAGUUCUACCUCAGAGAUCAACUGUCCAACAGUGAGAUAGACACAAUGCUACAAAUGCAGGCUGACAACGCCCGCGACUUCAUGACCAUCACGAAAGACGGUGGCUUCAUCCACGCUCCGGUACCAUGAGUCGAGUCGAAAGUAGUGAUGCUAUUUGUAAUUCUGAAACAUCAAUUAGCUCAUGUUGUAAUUAAACUUUAAUGAACUUGUAUGUCUCUUUGGUUUGGACAGUCGUUCAACUUAGAUGUAAUCGAUGCUAUUUAUUAGUAGGACCAUGAAUCGUGCUAUUAAUGUCUUGCUUUUCUCUUCUGAUCCUUUUGUUGCAUACUUAUAUAUUGCUUAUGUAUUAUCUAUUGUUUGGCUUGUGCAUAGAGAUGUCGUCGUAUGUCAUGUACAAGGGUAAGGUUCCCGGAGUCUACGACGACUGGGAGGAGUGUCCGAGACAGGUUCACCAUUUCAGCGGUAAUAGUUACAAAGGGUACACCACUAGGGCGGAGGCGGAAUCUAGAUACGCCCUCUAUCUAGCGGGAGAGUGGAGGGAGCGUUGGAGGAACCGGAUGAAGACCAGUUUCAUUGCGAUGAUGCUCAUCAUGAUGACCGCAGCUCUCUUCUAUGUGAUGGUAGUUUAGAUGAUCGAUAUCGACUUGUAAUGUGAAGACAAACUCGCUACUCGCGGUCUCGAGACUUGUAAUGUUCUAUCUUUGUUCAGUCUUUUGAAUUCGGAGACUAAUAUGAUGAAUUGUAUUCAGAGACUAGUCUUCUAUUGUAUUCGAUGAAUCUGCUGUUGCUGUGUGCUGCUGUCUAUAUUAUGUCCAAUAAUACAUUUUGUAACCUGUGCAAAAAUCAUAAAAGUAAAAAAAACUAAUAUUCAUACUAAUGGCGCAUCACCACAAAGUGCGCCAUUAGUAUGCCAAAGGAUACUAAUGGCGCAUCACCCCACAGUGCGCCAUUAGUAUGCCAAAGCAUACUAAUGGCACAUCACCCCAUAGUGCGCCAUUAGUAUGCCAAAGCACAUGGGUAAAUAUGCCCCCCUGGGAGGCAUACUAAUGGCGCAUGCUGCUCUAUACUAAUGGCGCAUGGUGUGGUGCGCCAUUAGUAUACCAGAUAUUUACCCAGUGGUGCGCCAUUAGUAUAUAAUACUAGUGGCGUGGUACUAGUGGCGCACCAGUAGUGCGCCAUUAGUAGGCAAAACUGGUGCGCCACUAGUAGGCCUUUUCCUAGUAGUGGUGCAAUGGCUCGUUUUUCUUGCAUCAAAACUCCUCCAAUUCUGGUACCACUUGCAUUGCAGUGAAUCUCAAAAGUUUUGUCAAAGUUCGGUAAAGCAAGAAUCGGAGCAUGAGUAAGCAAAUAUUUGAGCUCAUCAAAAGUGGUAGAUUGCAAAGGCCCCCAAACAAAAGGAGCAUUUUUCUUACUCAAAGCAGGCAAAGGUGCGGCGAUGGUGCUAAAGUCUUUCACAAAGCAACGAUAGAAACCCGCAAGGCCAAGAAAGCUACGCACUUGUUGCAAAUUGGUGGGUUGGGGCCAAGUUUCAAUUGCUUCAAUUUUAGAUUCAUCAACAUGGACACCCUUUGAGGAAACUACGAAACCCGAGAAAACAAGUUUGUCAACACCAAAUGUGCACUUUUUCAUGUUGGCAUAAAGACGUUCCUUGCGAAGUGUUUGCAAAACAGCCCUAACAUGAUUUAGAUUCUCUUUCAUGGAUCUGCGAAAAACAAGUAUGUCAUCGAAGUAGACCACAACAAACACUCCAAUGUAAAGGCGAAGCACAAAAUGCAUAAGACGCAUGAAACCACCGGGAGCUUCCGACAAACCCAUAGGCAUAACCAACCACUCGUACAAGCCAAAUUUGGUUUUGAAAGCGGGUUUCCAUUCAUCACCUUCUUGUAUGCGGAUUUGAUAAUAGCCACUCUUAAGAUCAACUUUUGAGAAAAUGGUGGCGCCGCUAAGUUCAUCUAGCAUAUCAUCUAGGCGAGGAAUGGGAUGCUUAUAACAACGGUAAUAGCAUUAAUGGGUCUACAAUCCGAGCACAUGCAAAAACUACCAUCUUGCUUGGGCACAAGUAUAACUGGAACGACACAAGGGCUUAAGCUUUCACGUACAUGUCCAUUGUCGAUGAGUUGUUGUACUUGCUGUUGGAUCUCCUUAGUUUCUUCGGGGUUGAUGCGGUAGGGAGCUUUGUUAGGUAGAGGUGCUCCGGGGAUGAGGUCGAUUCGGUGCUCAAUUCCUCGUAGUGGAGGUAGACCCGGAGGUAUCUCAUUGGGAAAAACAUCUUGGAAUUCCUGCAAAAGAGAAGACAACACUAAAGGUAGAUCGUGAGAGGUGUUAGUUUUUGGUGCCUCAUCCUUGCACACAGGGACAAAGUACAUAACACUCGAUGGGUUCUCACACACUUCUCUCAUCUCACUUUUGGUGGCAAAUAGGACAAUGUUUUUCUUGUCGCUCAUCGUGGAGGCAGUCGGUUUUGGCUUGGGGCUCUCACUCUCUUUUGGAUUGAUCACUUUCUCACUCUUUUCUCCAUGAUGGGUGGCUUUCUUGUCGGCGAUCACUUGACUAGGAGACAUAGGUCGUAGCACAUACUCCUCCCCUUUCAUCUUGAAGCUAUAGUGAUUGGUACGCCCAUUGUGGAUGACACCGCGGUCAAAUUGCCAUGGUCGACCAAGAAGGAGGUGGCAAACGGACAUCGGGACGACAUCACACUCCAAAGUGUCUUCAUAUGCUCCAAGUUUGAAGGAGACUUGGACUGUAUGCUCAACUUGUAUAGUUCCGGAAUCGCUUAGCCAUUGGACCUUGUAUGGGUGCGGGUGCUUCGUCUUGACCAAUUGAUGCGGAGCAUCCAUCGGUCAUCCCCAUGGACCUUCAAUCGUCUCACCAAGCACCAAGAGGACCCAUGACUAGAGCACGAGCUAGAGCUCUCGAGAUCGAGGUGACUUCUCUCCUUAGUGAUAUCUCAUAUGAUCCUCUCGAGACAUGGUUACUAUCUAAGUCCGAAAAGUUGUGCAUGAUUAGGUACCAAGAGGACCCCCUCGAGGAUGCACAUGAAGAUGGUCAAGACCCCAAGUCCAUGGAAGAAGAGAACCAACGGAAGAAGGCGAGAACAACCUCCAAGCACCGGACAUCCGGCCAAGGCCCCGGACAUCCGGCCCCUGGAGAUCUGCACCACAUCAAGGCAUCUGCAGCAGAAGCUACAGGGCCCGGACAUCCGGCGUCCAGCCCAGACAUCUGGCCCUCCUCAUCCGAAAUCCUGCCUCCAGCCCGGACAUGCGGAGGCGCCAUCCAGGGAGCACAUAUGGCUGCUCAGACAGCCCGGACAUCCGGUCAUCACCCCGGACAUCCGGUGCCUCCCGAAGCCCCGGACAUCUGGCCCCUCCGCCCGGACAUCCGGUGCCACCCAUCCAGAGAACAGCAUGGCCGUCUCCACCAGCCCAGACAUCCGGACCCUCGCGAGCCACCGGACAUCCGACCCAACGCCCGGACAUCCGUCCUUCCCUGUAUGCGAACAGUGUAAGGGCCGAGGCCCAUGUACCCCUUCGCCCCUAGACAAUAUAUUCUCCAUCCCCACCUACGUUUUAGGGUUAGCAUUGUGAUAGCUCAUUUGAGAUAGAGCAUUGCUCAUCCGUACCGGAUCUACUCCUCGUGAGGGACCGCACCUCUUCGAAGAAGAUCCAUCCGGAUUCAAGGCCUCCAUCCGUAGAAGACAAUUAAGACCUCCUCACAGAGAAGAACGGUUACUCGUGUAUCGUCCCUUGUUGACUUUGGAUCUUGUGUUAUUUCGUGCCUCAGUGAUCUAGCACUUGUGUGAUCAAUUUCGUGUCGGUUGAGUGUUUCUCUUGUUUUCCCCUCGUGAUUCCCCUCGUGUUCUUCUGCGUAUUCUUCGUGUUAUCCGUAGGAUCCUCUCCAAACAUGAAAGAUCGGCCCCAUAAGGUUCCUCCCUACAUCACCAAUUGGAGCUUGGAGCAUAGUUCUUCACUCGCCAAGUUGUGACAACUACCUCCAUCGAUGAUGACCUUGACGGACCUUCCAUUGAUGCCGGUCUUUGUGUGGAAGAUGUGGCAUCAUUGGUCUUCGUCUUGUUGAUGUUGAAGAGUCAAUACUUUGGAGACAACGAGAGCGGGGCUCGAAUCCUCAUCACAAAAGACUUGAUCCUCUUCAUCUUUGUUCACGCUGGUGCAUGGCCACUUGGUCAAGGGCUUCCAUCUCCUAUUCACUCAUGGUGUCAUAGGUUCCAUUGUUGUUGAGGAUCAUGAUGCGCUUGUUUGUACAUUGAAAGGACUUGUGGCCUAGGCCGCCGCAAGUAAAACACUUGAAGGAGCUUGUUGUGACGGUCUCAUCGGUUGGAGUAGAUGAUGAAGUGCGCGGCUUGAAGUUGCUUGUACUAGGAGGAAGACGACUUGAGGUUGUCGAAGUUUUCUUGUAACUCGACUUGUCGUUGUUGCUUGUAGAUGGCUUGGUUGAGGUAGAAGUUGUUGGAGUCGUUGAAGAUUGGUUAUUGGAGAAGCCGUAGGUCAUGGAUGAGUACUUGGCGUACUUUAAGUCAUCUUGCACUUGACGUUCCUCUUUGGUAGCUUGAUGCACGAGCUCCAUAAGGUUGGAGUAGGGUUGGAAGUCAGCAAUCUUCUUGAUGGGAUGAUUGAGGCCAUUCAAGAAACAUGCCAUAGUUUGCUCAUCAUCUUUCGUGACAUUGGCUCGUAUCAUGGCUAUCUCCAUUUCCUUGUAGUAUUCUUCAACACUCUUUGUUCCUUGCAUGAUUAGUUGGAGCUUCUUGAAGAGAUCGCAGUUGUAGUAGGUGGGCACAAAACGUGCUCGCAUGACAUCUUUCAUUUGAGCCCAACUGGUGAUUGGUGGUUCACCUCUUGCUUCUCGGUGCUCAAGGACUUGUUCCCACCAUAUGAGCACAUAGUCUUGGAACUCAAGUGAUGCCAUAGAGAUCUUCUUCUCUUGCUCAUAGUUGUGCAAACGAAAGAUUUUGUCGACCUUCAAUGCCAAAUGAUAGGUACUCUUCGGUAUCAUUGCUUCCAUUGAACUUGGGCAUGGUGAACUUUAGCUUGCCGAAGUGUUGCUCUUCAUUGUGUUGGGGUCGAGGGUGAUGAUGACGCCCUUGACAUGGAGGAUGAUCAACUUCAUGUUGCUCUUGGUGUGGAGGAUUUCCAUAGUCGUCGUGCAUUUGUUGAACUUGAGGUUGUGGAGGAGAUUGUCGAGCUUGAGAAGGUGCUUGAGGAACUUGAUGUUACACUCUUGGUUGGUAGCUCCGCUCUUGGAUUUCCUGUCGAAGUGCUUCCUCUUGAUUGCGCCUAUCGCGGUAGCGUUUGGCAAUGGCUCGACCUGAUUCUUGAAGGGCACGUUGCGCCUCAAGAUCUUGUGCUUCACGAUGUUGUUGUUGAAGACUUUGAGCCUCGACAUCUUGUUCAUCUUGAUGUUGUCGUGCUCGUUCUUCCUCUUGGAGACGUUGAUGUUAUCGUUAUUGAGCUUGUGCAAAAGGAUCUUGGUUUGCUUGAUGACGAUGUGCUUGCUCAUCGACUUGCUCUUGCGAAUGAUUGCCGUGUAGAGGAUUGUGAGAUGCAUGAUGGUCUUGACCGUGGUUCGGCGUGGAGUGUUUGAUGUCGGUGUACUUGAGUCGGAAAAGGUGUCGUCGGUGUGUCAACUUGAGUGGCUCCGUCUUGAGUAUGAAGAAGUGGAAGGAGGGCAGUUCACCAACAAGGCACAAAUCUCGUCCAUUCUUGCAUCAUUCUCUUGCUUGUGAGCGUCGAGCUUGUUGUCGAAGUAGUGUCCUGUUCGUUACUCAGAGAGUCGCAAGUCGGUGGCGAGAUUGUCGAUGCGGUCACUCAUUGCUUGUUGCUCUUGAUGUAGAGCUCGUUGUGCACCAAAGAGAUGGAUCUUGGUGACAUAUGAUGUCAUGUCAUCGUCUUGCUCGCUGAAGAGUGGGUUGGUAGAAGAACUUGGCCUAUCCAUCAUUCCAAAGAAAAAUGUGAGUGGGAGAAAGGGAAGAACUUAUACCAAAUGUACCUUGACCGAUGUUGAAGAUGGCUCAAAGAUCACUCAAAUGCGGACAAUGAAAUAGCACAAUUGGUACCAAUUCUUGUCGGUUCUCACACCUACACAAGUAAAAGCUUAUGGUGGAGCUUGGUUAGCAUGGUGGCACAAAAUUUGAUGCAAUUGUAAGUGAGCUUCAAUAAUGCUGGAAAAGAUUCACAAAUUUGUAAAUGCAACAAGUAGACCAAUAGCAAGGUAUGGUACACGGAAACACACACA